rnacentral:rRNA from 1 species
GACAGAGGAUGCAAGCGUUAUCCGGAAUGAUUGGGCGUAAAGCGUCUGUAGGUGGCUUUUUAAGUCCGCCGUCAAAUCCCAGGGCUCAACCCUGGACAGGCGGUGGAAACUACCAAGCUGGAGUACGGUAGGGGGCAGAGGGAAUUUCCGGUGGAGCGGUGAAAUGCGUAGAGAUCGGAAAGAACACCCGUGGCGAAGGCGGCUCUCUGGGACGGUACUGACGCUGAGACGCGAAAGCGUGGGGAGCGAACAGG